rnacentral:rRNA from 1 species
UACGUAGGGUGCAAGCGUUAAUCGGAAUUACUGGGCGUAAAGCGUGCGCAGGCGGUUUUGUAAGUCUGUCGUGAAAUCCCCGGGCUCAACCUGGGAAUUGCGAUGGAGACUGCAAGGCUAGAAUCUGGCAGAGGGGGGUAGAAUUCCACGUGUAGCAGUGAAAUGCGUAGAGAUGUGGAGGAAUACCGAUGGCGAAGGCAGCCCCCUGGGCCAAUACUGACGCUCAUGCACGAAAGGCGUGGGGAGCAAACGAGGAUUAC